CGGGGGAGGCCGGAUCCUGGGCUGUGUCCCGGCGCCCUGUGCUCCGGAGCCUGCGCUGUUGGAUUCAAGCUCCCGGGCUGCGCAGCCCCCU
rnacentral:pre_miRNA from 1 species